ACUAAGAACAUAAUUGAUGCUUGUACUAAACGUAAUGUGAAGAGGCUUAUCUAUACAAGUUCUCCUAGUGUGGUUUUUGAUGGGAUACAUGGAAUACAUAAUGGAGAAGAAUCAUUGUCAUACAAGUCCAGAUAAAGAUCAUCAAGCAAUAGAUAUCCUUUUAACAAAGAUCGAUAUAUAUGAGCUUUUUGCUUUCAAACAUUGUUGGGGAAGAAGGUUGAAACUUGCUCUUUGCAGAGAGCUUGAUGAGAGAAUGCAUGACCUAAAUCUUUUAUCAAAUUCUCACUUUUGGAGGUGGCCAUAAGAAAAGGAUCCACCAGGAACAGGAAAAACACAAACAAUUCUUGGGCUUCUUAGUGCCAUAUUACAUACCAACUGAGUAUCUAAGUCUCUUAGUAACUUUGUAAGACAUUGAUUACUUGAGGGUAUUUUUAGUAACAUUGUAAGAGAUUGAUUACUUGAGGGUACUUAUGGUAUAUAAUGUUAUAUUCUUUUGUUAA